CAUGUUUAUGAAUAAUACCUUGGAGGUAUAAAGGUUCUAUAUGUUAAUGCUAUAAAUGUUAUUUACAAGGCAGUGAAUAUACUCCAUGUGACACACCAAAUAUUGCUUAUAUAAAAUAAAUGUAAAAGAAUCGAAUUUUACUGAGAAACAUUAUAGAUCAGUAAUAAAUGCUAUAAGAACGGUAUUAUUCCGAAGUCUUUAUGUGUACAGACUGAAAUCCAUGGGCUGAAAGGGCUGGAACUUUACGCUGGUUUCCUGUGAAGUAAACAAUCGUCACGUGCACAAACACGACUAUUUAUACAUCCCGUAUAAUUCAUUCCUGAUAUAAUAACUAUAGAAUAUAAGAAUAAAACUGGCUUCCUGUUGUGCUUGUCCACUCGAUUAACCUUUCAGAAGCUAGCUAGUUAUCGAGAUCGAUUAUGUACAAGGACGACGAUUGCUGGGAUUAUUGAUCUAGGUUUGAUGUUUCCCCGUUCCGUUCGUGUCCUCACUUCUAUAUAUCUACUUUGUACUUUAUCUGCUAACUUUUAUAUUCUCGCUAACACACACGAUAUACACAAUACACCAAAAAAGAUGUGUGUGACAAUCUCCAUGGUUACCCUCGUCAUGGCGUUUUCCCCCCACUCGCUCGGAUUAUAGUCCACGGUGAUCUCCUCGCCUUUGGUGAUGUCGCGAAUCGCUACGACGACCAGCCGCACCUGAUUGCCACAGUGCACUUCCCGGAUACGGCAGUUGGGUGGUGGGUAGAGAACGGCUCCCCUCCCGCUGCUGGAGCUCUGCUCCCCCGUCUCAGCAGGACUGACAGAGGGAGAGAGAGAGAGAGAGAGAGAGAGAGAGGGAGAGAGAGAGAGAGAGAGAAACAAAGGAUGAGGAGAUCCAGAUACAAAGAGAGGAGAGAGAGAGAGAGAAAAAGAUACAGAGAGAAUGAGAGAGAGAGAGAGAGAGAGAGAGAGAGAAAGGGUGGAGGCACAUGACAGACAGCGAGUGAGUGAGUGAGAGAGAGAGAGAGAGAGAGAGAGAGAGAGAGAAAGGCAGGAGGCACAUGACAGACAGUGAGUGAGUGAGAGUGAGAGAGAGAGAGAGAGAGAGAGACAGAGAAAGGCAGGAGGCACAUGACAGACAGUGAGUGAGUGAGUGAGAGAGAGAGAGAGAGAGAGAGAGAAAGGGAGAGAGAGAGGCAGGAUAUCAGAGUGAGACAAAGACAAACAGAGGGCACAAUCAGUCAACAGAAAGAGAGAGAGAGAGAAUAGUGAGUGAGUGAGAGAGAGAGAUUAAAAACAGAGGUAAGACAGAAUGAUACAGAGAGUGAGAGAGACAUAGUGAGAUAAGGAGGAGCAAAAAGAGACAGACAUAGAUAGAUGAUGGCAAUCAACGAGAGAGAGAGAGAGAGAGAGAGAGAGAGAGAUCAGCAUAUACAGCACAUUAAUCAAUGCCACGUACACAAUCCCACAGUUGUGUGUUCUCACAGAUAAGAACUCAGUCAGAGACCAGUUUCCACUUUUAACAGUUUCCUAUAUUACCCACAAUCCUGUGCGAGUACCUGCUGAUAGCGGCACAGUGGGAUUUAGCCCUCGCUUCACCUCUACCUAAAGAGAGCGAUGCAGCGACACUUUAGUGCUUCAGUCUGUUCAGCUCUCUCUCACCUCCUCCUCCUCUUCUCAUCUCUAGAAUGGAUCGGGUUUCCAAAGCUUCAGCUUUCACUCUCUACCACUGCCGAAAUCCUCUCACACGCCUCAUCUCGUACAUCGCGAACUAGCCGAGCCGAGUCUCUGCCGUUACUCGGCCGCGGUGCAUUCUGGGACUUUUGAGUGCAGCGUAAGCACCAACGUCACCGCUACUUUUCCACUUCUCACUGGAACACUGUUUAUUACUCUUUAAAUCGCCACACGCUUGCGUAUAUUAUUUAUUCACUCAUUUAUUCAACAUGUAUUUUUUAUAUCGUGCCAUAAAUAAGAAUUUGUUCAAAUAAUUCCAUCCAGGUUUUUAGUUUAAUAUUUACUUCACUCCAUAAAUGAGACAUUUUUAAUUAUCUCUGUAUUUUAAAAAAAUUAUUUUAAUACAAUUGUUACUUAUUGUGCUUAUUUGUUUCUAAACACAUAUACAUAUAUGCAUAUAUAUAUAUAUAUAUAUAUAUA
ensembl:lncRNA